rnacentral:rRNA from 1 species
AUUGAACGCUGGCGGCAGGCUUAACACAUGCAAGUCGAGCGGAGUGAUGGUGCUUGCACUAUCACUUAGCGGCGGACGGGUGAGUAAUGCUUAGGAAUCUGCCUAUUAGUGGGGGACAACAUCUCGAAAGGGAUGCUAAUACCGCAUACGUCCUACGGGAGAAAGCAGGGGAUCACUUGUGACCUUGCGCUAAUAGAUGAGCCUAAGUCGGAUUAGCUAGGUGGUGGGGUAAAGGCCUACCAAGGCGACGAUCUGUAGCGGGUCUGAGAGGAUGAUCCGCCACACUGGGACUGAGACACGGCGCAGACUCCUACGGGAGGCAGCAGUGGGGAAUAUUGGACAAUGGGGGGAACCCUGAUCCAGCCAUGCCGCGUGUGUGAAGAAGGCCUUAUGGUUGUAAAGCACUUUAAGCGAGGAGGAGGCUCUUUUGGUUAAUACCCAAGAUGAGUGGACGUUACUCGCAGAAUAAGCACCGGCUAACUCUGUGCCAGCCGCCGCAGUAA